rnacentral:rRNA from 1 species
AGCGAACGUUAGCGGCGGGCCUAACACAUGCAAGUCGAGCGAGAACGGGGCUUCGGCUCCUAGUAAAGCGGCGGACGGGUGAGUAACACGGAGGUAAUCUUCCCUUGAGCGGGGGACAACGGUCCGAAAGGACCGCUAAUACCGCAUACGUUCUCCGAGACUCCGGUCUUGGAGAGGAAAGCUAGGUAGCAAUAUCCGGCACCCGAGGAGGAGCCUGCGUCGCAUCAGCUAGUUGGUGGGGUAAUGGCCUACCAAGGCGAAGACGCGUAGCUGGUCUGAGAGGGUGAUCAGCCACACUGGGACUGAGACACGGCCCAGACUCCUACGGGAGGCAGCAGUGGGGAAUAUUGGACAAUGGGCGCAAGCCUGAUCCAGCCACGCCGCGUGAGUGAUGAAGGCCUUCGGGUCGUAAAGCUCUGUGGGGAGGGACGAACCGCUGCAGGUUAAUACCCUGCAGCAUGACGGUACCUCCUUAGCAAGCACCGGCUAACUUCGUGCCAGCAGCCGCAGUAAGAC